rnacentral:tRNA from 2 species
AACAUUAUAGUUUAUUAAAAAUAUUGAGUUUGCAUCUCAAUGAUAGGUAAGUUGCCUUUAUGUUA